UACGGAGGGUGCGAGCGUUGUUCGGAAUCACUGGGCGUAAAGGGCGUGUAGGCGGUCUGUUAAGUCUGAUGUGAAAGCCCGGGGCUCACCCCCGGAAGUGCAUUGGAUACUGGCGGACUCGAGUCUCGGAGAGGAGGGUGGAAUUCCUGGUGUAGCGGUGAAAUGCGUAGAGAUCGGAAGGAACGUCGAUGGCGAAGGCAGCCACCGGGCCACAUACUGACGCUGAGGCGCGAAAGCGUGGGGAGCGAACAGG
rnacentral:rRNA from 1 species